GCCCGCUCCGGCUUUCCCGCCCGCUCCGGCUUUCCCGCCCGUUCCGGCUUUCCCGCCAGCACCGGCUUUCCCGGUCGUUUGUCUGUCAAUCAGUCAGUCAAUCAAUCAGUCAGUGGCCGCUGUGGCCGGGCAGCGCCGCGGACCCCCGUGUCCCCUGAGCGCGGCGGGCAGGUGUGCCUUCAGGAGAGCCUUCUCCGCUGGACGCCGGGAGGACGGAGACUUCUCCCAGUAUUCCCCGUAUUGGCGCUUCUUGCGUUCUCAUCACCCGCCAGGGUGCCGGAGGAAACGAUCUGCUGUCCCCUCUGUCCCCUGGUCUCGCCGGCGAGUGCAGCAGCCGUAAACCCUGCAGUGGCUUCGAAAGGGAGUUCUCACCCUCGGGCUCCUGCAAGGAGGGGAGGUUUUCAUCCCUUGCCCUAAAGCAUGAGCGUCCUGCCCAAGAACCAUCGCAUAGACAGGCGUGAGAGGAAUUACUAUUACUUUCUUGCCAAAUGAUCUACUUCAAUCACAACUUGCUAAUAUAAAUAGACCAAAGCUGCAUAUGUUGCUCACGAGGGAGACAAGGACCGUGUGUCCAUGUCAAGAAUAAGUUAAUGAUGCGAGGCUUGUGGGUAAAGGGCCAGACAAGAGCCAGCAAAUGUGGCUUGUCUGAACUAUGCUUGUCCACUUCCUAGCAAGAGGUCCCAGACCUUUCCUAAAUCCCAACUCCAUUGCUCCUGCUUUUUCUUCUGGUAACAUUUUGCAAGCACAGACUGUUGCUUGGCUUAUAUUUCAGCAUCAGCAGCAAUCUCAAAAUUUCCAAUUUAGUAGGUAACUUGUGUUUUUCAGACAGCGCCUUUAAAAUACAGUGCCUUGUUAAAUGAACAAUGUGCCUUGUUAAAUGAACUUUAUGGCAGUUAACUGUCCGUGGCCAUGCUGUACAACAGGUUACACAUUAUUUUUGGAGUAGCUUAUGUCACCACUGAUACAUCAGAUGCCUUGGUAGAGGAUGGAGUUUUCUUCAUAAUAACCAACUUUCAGUCAGUGACUUGCAUGGUAAUAAUUGUCCGUGUACAUGUAUGUAGAACUAAGGUAGGUUGUUCUCAUGCUCUCAUCAGUUUGUAAGAAAAAAGAGAGGGAAAAAUAUGUUAUAGCUCUUCAAAGGCACAAUGUCUGUGUUUCAGGAGACAUGAAGCCUUGACUGCACAGUUAAAGAUGUACUAAUGUUGCUUGUCAGUAUUCUAAGGAGAGUUUAGGCUGCUGCAGGUGCAGAAGGUUUUCCUAUCAUGAAAGCAACACAUCACUGAAAUGUAAAAAUGAUAAUUUUUGUAUGGACAACAUGAUCAUUGAUAACUACUCUGUGGUGAUAAAGGUAGUCCCAUAAGGAAUUAAUAUUUAUCCCCCUUUGUUAUGCUCUUAACUGGAAGAUGUAUCUUACCAUUGUAAUCACAGACUGUAUAAAUCCACUGUGAUAAAGCAGGUCUUUUCCAGCUGGAACAGAAAAAAAAUUUGGAAUAGAGGUUUUAGGCCACUUCAGUUUGGGGUGGUGUGAGGAAUGUGCUGUGCAGUAUAAAAAUAAUUUAAUAGGAUUUUGAUGAUUGUUGGGUAGUCGGAUAUUAGGAGGGAGGCUAAUGGUUCAUAAUUUCAGGAUUAGGAUACGUGAAUUUCUGUAUUAACCCAUGUGGAAAACAUUGCAUCAACAUUUAACUAUGCUGUUGUUCUAGCCAGUCAUAAGAUCAAAUUCUGUUGUUCCUGUGCUUCUCUGUCCUUGGCCACUGACCUACCCAGCUGAGCAAAGAAAAGCCCUGCAUGGAUUCAGAUACAGGAAUGUUUUUCUAUAUUUACAUGAAAAAUAUAAAGCCUAAUUAUUUUUUAAAACGAAAGUUAGCUUUUCAAGUAACCGACUGGACUAUCAGGUUUUUAGGUUGUGGCAUUCAGUUGAUCAAAUAAUUUGAUUCUAGUGUGUUAGUGUUUACAUUUUAUAAAGCUGAUAAUUAUUUUUUUCUCACAUUUUUAUUACUCCUGUAGAUGAAAAUGUAAAUUAUACCACAUUUACUGUUAUCUCAUUGCAUAUGAAAAUAGCUAUGUGUUCUUUUUAAUAUCUCCAGACAUUAAUUGUACAAGAUAUGAUUCUUAAAGAUUUGCUCAUUUCUCGGAGGUUGUUUACUUUGAUUGCUUUGACUCUUUAUCUGCCACCAGGGGGCAAUAAUUCCAUUUCCUAAAUCUGAUCUUUUACCAUUAACACAUUCUGAACAGUGGUUAUCAUUAACGUUUCUGAAAGACUAUGUGUGCAAGUCAAAACAUAAUUUUCUUAACAAUGCUUCACUUGAAUAAUUUAAUGCUAAUUACAUUAGUAUUUUCAUAUUUUACCCUGCACUAUUUAGGCAUGUAGGCUUUGCUUUUAUUUUGAGCAGCUGAAAUUACACUAUGUGAAAGUUUUUGCUGGUGAACCUCAUGCAGCACUGGAAUGGUUCAAGGUUAUUAUUUCGUGUGAAAUAGGAUUCUAAAAUGUGUUGUAUAUUGCCAUUGUCAGAUUUAAAAAUUUGUUUUGAAUGCCGUUACUUUCCUGUUAUUUUUUUAAUUAGUUUUGUUUUGUUACACUAACGUCCAAUUAAAAUUUAAUCCUGAAUUUGGGAAUUAUAUUAUCUGACAGGUACCUUUAUAUCCUUAUAUGAUAUGUAUUUAUUUUAUUAAUGGACGUAAUAGUUCCAUCACAUUGCAGUUAAAGCCAAUGCCACCUUCUGUAAAGAUCUGUAAAAUUCUGUGUAAAAUGCAAUCUUCCCUUUAAUACUGACAAUAUUGUAACUGGAUCUUCCAAUAGGUCUAUAUAUAUGGAUCUUCCAAUAUGUCUAUAUAUAUAUGCAAGUAUGAGCCAGAGGAAAUAUCUUCCUGCAAAGCUGCAAAAGUACAUAUUAAUACUGGUAUAUUUUAUUGAAAAGGUUCUUGUGUUCUUGAUAAGGUUUUGACACUUGGCAGCAAACCAUCUCCCAUCUGAAAGCGUAUGCGGAGUUCUAGGCAAAGUCUUAACAGAGCUUGUUGGAAAUUUUAAUCCAUGCUAAGGACUAUGUAAGCCGAAGAAGAUUCCUGUUGCAAAAGGGCAUUAUUAUGUUUGCUGUUUGUUAUCUUUUUAAUUGCAGCGGAGGUGAAAAAUUGCCUGGUAUAUUUCAUUUUGUCAGCUUAAAAUAAAUGGAAAAGUUGAAGUAUGUCCUCAUAAAAUGGUUGUCUUUA